AGAGCAAGCUUGGUGAUGCUUGAUAGGUAGAGGAACCGACUCUGACAUAAACCAAAUCAGAGUUGAUUAGAUCAAAUCUGGAGCCCGUUGCAAAGGUAUCUUUGAGUAGAUAUGAUAAAGUAUCAUGUUAGCCGAACAGAUAGUCAAUUUUUAAGUUUGAAAAGGAGAUUUGAUCUUCCAUAUGGAUGCUGUAUAGGGAUCUAACUUUGAGAAGUAGCUUGGAGCCAUUAAAUCUGAAAUAAAGUCCAUCAAGAUCGAUGAUGUAUGGAUAUUCGUUGAUUCAUCUGAAGGGAUAAGACCCAUAAGGUAUGAGUGGAUUUCAGAUGGAUAAGAGGUGCAGACGGAAAGAUGGAGACCUAUUAAUUCUGUCCGGUUGUCAAAAAAUUUCAUCAAAGUUAUAGUGUUGACUAUGAUGAAAUAUUUUUCUUACAGCAAUCCUCAAGUCCAUUCGGAUUAAAUUAAACUUCUUAGAGUUGGAAUAUACGUUUUGAAGGUAUGGCUUCAUUGAGAAUGAAGAAGAAACCUGUAUGUACAAAUGGGCUAAUAGUUCUGUAUAAGUAUUCUUUAUGUUGUUUAGACGAAAUUUUCUUAAUCGAUAAUGACAUCCCUAUAUUAUAGAGAAUAAAAGUUUGGUUGUUAUCUCCGUUCUCCAUAA
rnacentral:lncRNA from 1 species